GAAAACUGCAAAGGAUUUCCCACCAGCUUGUUAAGCCCAUAACAUUCAAGGUGGCAUUUGUGUCUGCAAACGUUGUGCCUGAAGAAAAAAGAAUCCGAACAAAAAACUCUAAAUUUAAGCCUUUCGACAAUGCCAUAUAUUUUAAGAUAAACUUUGUAUCCAAAAAAUUGGCAAAUAAAUUAUUAGUGAAUAAAAAGGUUGUCAAAGAGAACUUAUUUACUUA